CUCAAGCUCAUCCCUGCCCUCAAACCUCUCCAAACUGCUGCCAAGGUCACUGGCCAAAUCCACCGUCGCCGGCCCUUUUUCUGCCACAACAGCACACCAUCAACUUUUCCGCUCAUCGGUCUGGGGUGGACAUGUGGAAGGGGCUUCGGCCAGGUUGACAUGAUCCACAACGGUGGAACCCGUGAAAGCAGCGACCGUCUAGCCUUGCUUAGGCCCAGCAAGGAGUGUGUUUGGCCUGUCGGCCCCUAA
rnacentral:lncRNA from 1 species